rnacentral:rRNA from 1 species
GUGUCAGCAGCCGCGGUAAGACAGAGGGUGCAAACGUUGUUCGGAAUCACUGGGCGUAAAGCGCGUGUAGGCUGCUGCGCAAGUCGGAUGUGAAAUCCCACGGCUCAACCAUGGAAGUGCAUUCGAAACUGCGUAGCUAGAGUUUUGGAGAGGAAGGCGGAAUACUCGGUGUAGAGGUGAAAUUCGUAGAUAUCGAGUGGAACACCGGUGGCGAAGGCGGCCUUCUGGACAAUGACUGACGCUGAAACGCGAAAGCGUGGGGAGCAAACAGGAUUAGAAACCCCUGUAGUCC